rnacentral:rRNA from 1 species
CCACCAAAGCAUUCUCUGGUGUUGAAGGCCCUGCAAAGCAGCAUCGCGGUGGCGGAGCGUCGUUUGCGACGCCCAACACACAAAACAAGCGGUGAGUGCUUUGGGGUGGGGUGACUGCGUACCUUUUGUAUAAUGGGUCAGCGACUUAUAUUCUGUAGCAAGGUUAACCGUAUAGGGGAGCCGAAGGGAAACCGAGUCUUAACUGGGCGUUAAGUUGCAGGGUAUAGACCCGAAACCCGGUGAUCUAGCCAUGGGCAGGUUGAAGGUUGGGUAACACUAACUGGAGGACCGAACCGACUAAUGUUGAAAAAUUAGCGGAUGACUUGUGGCUGGGGGUGAAAGGCCAAUCAAACCGGGAGAUAGCUGGUUCUCCCCGAAAGCUAUUUAGGUAGCGCCUCGUGAACUCAUCUUCGGGGGUAGAGCACUGUUUCGGCUAGGGGGUCAUCCCGACUUACCAACCCGAUGCAAACUGCGAAUACCGAAGAAUGUUAUCACGGGAGACACACGGCGGGUGCUAACGUCCGUCGUGAAGAGGGAAACAACCCAGACCGCCAGCUAAGGUCCCAAAGUCACAGUUAAGUGGGAAACGAUGUGGGAAGGCUCAGACAGCCAGGAUGUUGGCUUAGAAGCAGCCAUCAUUUAAAGAAAGCGUAAUAGCUCACUGGUCGAGUCGGCCUGCGCGGAAGAUGUAACGGGGCUAAACUGUGCACCGAAGCUGCGGCAGCGACGCUUAUGCGUUGUUGGGUAGGGGAGCGUUCUGUAAGCCUGCGAAGGUGUCCUGUGAGGGAUGCUGGAGGUAUCAGAAGUGCGAAUGCUGACAUAAGUAACGAUAA